rnacentral:rRNA from 1 species
UACGGAGGGUGCAAACGUUGCUCGGAAUCAUUGGGCGUAAAGCGCACGUAGGCGGCCUGUUAAGUCGGAUGUGAAAGCCCCGGGCUCAACCCGGGAAGUGCAUACGAAACUGGCAGGCUUGAAUAUGGAAGAGGGUCGCGGAAUUCCCGGUGUAGAGGUGAAAUUCGUAGAUAUCGGGAGGAACACCAGUGGCGAAGGCGGCGAUCUGGGCAGACACUGACGCUGAGGUGCGAAAGCGUGGGGAGCAAACAGG